rnacentral:rRNA from 1 species
UACGGGGGGAGCAAGCGUUGUUCGGAUUUACUGGGCGUAAAGGGCGCGUAGGCGGUCAGCACAAGUCAGUUGUGAAAUCUCCGGGCUUAACUCGGAAAGGUCAACUGAUACUGUGCGACUAGAGUGCGGAAGGGGCAACUGGAAUUCUUGGUGUAGCGGUGAAAUGCGUAGAUAUCAAGAGGAACACCUGCGGCGAAAGCGGCGCGCUGGACCUCUUCUGACGCUGAGGCGCGAAAGCCAGGGGAGCAAACGGG